GGGCGUAAGCGCACGCAGGCGGUUUGUUAAGUCAGAUGUGAAAUCCCCGGGCUCAACCUGGGAACUGCAUCUGAUACUGGCAAGCUUGAGUCUCGUAGAGGGGGGUAGAAUUCCAGGUGUAGCGGUGAAAUGCGUAGAGAUCUGGAGGAAUACCGGUGGCGAAGGCGGCCCCCUGGACGAAGACUGACGCUCAGGUGCGAAAGCGUGGGGAGCAAACAGGAUUAGAUACCCUGGUAGUCCACGCCGUAAACGAUGUCGACUUGGAGGUUGUGCCCUUGAGGCGUGGCUUCCGGAGCUAACGCGUUAAGUCGACCGCCUGGGGAGUACGGCCGCAAGGUUAAAACUCAAAUGAAUUGACGGGGGCCCGCACAAGCGGUGGAGCAUGUGGUUUAAUUCGAUGCAACGCGAAGAACCUUACCUGGUCUUGACAUCCACGGAAGUUUUCAGAGAUGAGAAUGUGCCUUCGGGAACCGUGAGACAGGUGCUGCAUGGCUGUCG
rnacentral:rRNA from 1 species